UACGGAGGGAGCUAGCGUUGUUCGGAAUUACUGGGCGUAAAGCGCACGUAGGCGGCUAUUCAAGUCGGGGGUGAAAGCCCGGGGCUCAACCCCGGAACAGCCCUCGAAACUAGAUAGCUAGAGUCUUGGAGAGGCGAGUGGAAUUCCGAGUGUAGAGGUGAAAUUCGUAGAUAUUCGGAAGAACACCAGUGGCGAAGGCGACUCGCUGGACAAGUAUUGACGCUGAGGUGCGAAAGCGUGGGGAGCAAACAGG
rnacentral:rRNA from 1 species